AUGCACGCUGGCGGCGUGCCUCAUACAUGCAAGUCGAGCGAACAGACGAGGAGCUUGCUCCUCUGACGUUAGCGGCGGACGGGUGAGUAACACGUGGAUAACCUACCUAUAAGACUGGGAUAACUUCGGGAAACCGGAGCUAAUACCGGAUAAUAUAUUGAACCGCAUGGUUCAAUAGUGAAAGACGGUUUUGCUGUCACUUAUUGAUGGAUCCGCGCCGCAUUAGCUAGUUGGUAAGGUAACGGCUUACCAAGGCAACGAUGCGUAGCCGACCUGAGAGGGUGAUCGGCCACACUGGAACUGAGACACGGUCCAGACUCCUACGGGAGGCAGCAGUAGGGAAUCUUCCGCAAUGGGCGAAAGCCUGACGGAGCAACGCCGCGUGAGUGAUGAAGGUCUUCGGAUCGUAAAACUCUGUUAUUAGGGAAGAACAAAUGUGUAAGUAACUAUGCACGUCUUGACGGUACCUAAUCAGAAAGCCACGGCUAACUACGUG
rnacentral:rRNA from 1 species